rnacentral:lncRNA from 1 species
UCACCUAGUUACACAUCAGCUGUAACAAAGUAGGUCAUAUUUCAUCAUAUAAGCAUCAUGUACUAAAGUAGAUCAUGUCACAAUUUUUUGUGACCUUUUUGGUAUCUUCUUAAUUAUCUUCAGUCAUUGACAACCAUUGACCUAUUUCCCUUGCAUCCUUUGGUUCUUCAUACUACAGUAUUCUAUUAUGAUAGACUAGAAUGGGCAAAUGAUUGUCCUGAUUCUUCCAGCUAAGGAUGAGUCCAAAUGUGGUCCCAGAAAAACUUGUGUACCAUUACCCUAGAACCCCAGAACAGAGGUUCUGAAACAUCACCAGGUAGUAGAAUCCACUGGAGGGCUUUUUAGAACACUGAUUGUUAGGCUCCACCCUCAGAGUUUCUGAUCCUGUAGAUAGAGGUGGGACCCAAGAAUUUGCAUUUUAACAAGUUCCCAGGAGAUUCUAACUCUGAUGGUCCCAGGCCACACUUUGAGAACCACUGCUUUAGAAUCUUAGUGAGACAGACAAAAGGAAUGCAGAAAUGGUACCACAAAGACAAAUGCUCCUAGAAGCCAAACAGAACAGGCAAGGAAGAGGAAUUCAGACUCUUGGGGGGUCUUCUUGCUUCACUACAUGCCAAUCACCAAUUGCUUGAACUUCAUGGAGAAUUAGAAAGGUUUCUUCAUCCCAAUCAAUUCUGUGUCAUCAAUAAAUACGGUUAUAUUGAUAAAUAAGGUUAACCUGAAAGUCUAACAUUUUCUUUAAAUAUAUUU